UACUCAGUAACUCAGUGGCAGAGGGCUUGCCUAGCAUGCAUGAGGCUCCGGGGUUCAAUCCCCAGCACUAC
rnacentral:tRNA from 1 species